UCAUAGGAUUAUGGAAUCACGGAAUGGUUUGCACUGCAAGGGAUCUUAGAGAUAAUCUUGUUCCAUCCCCCUGGCAUAGACAGGGACACCUUCCACUAUCCUAGGCUGCUCCAAGCCCUGUCCAAGCUGGCCUUGAACACUUUCAAGGAUGGGGCCAGCCGCAGCUUCUCUGGUCAAACUGGGCAAGCACCUCACCU